rnacentral:rRNA from 1 species
UACGGAGGGUGCAAGCGUUAUCCGGAUUCACUGGGUUUAAAGGGAGCGUAGGAGGGCAGGUAAGUCAGUGGUGAAAUCUUCGAGCUUAACUCGGAAACUGCCGUUGAUACUAUCUGUCUUGAAUACCGUGGAGAUGAGCGGAAUAUGUCAUGUAGCGGUGAAAUGCUUAGAUAUGACAUAGAACACCGAUUGCGAAGGCAGCUUGCUACACGAUCAUUGACACUGAGGCACGAAAGCGUGGGGAUCAAACAGG